AGCUUUGUGCAGUGGCAGUGUCAUAGCCAAUGAGGUUUAUCCGAGGCGCAAUUAUUGCUAAUUGAAAUACUAUGUCAAUAUGCUGGUUGCUAACUGAGAUAUACAGGUUUAAACCAAACUUUAGUUGAGAUUUCUGGACU